CCCAGGCGCCCCUCCAUACAUCUUUUAAAAAGUGUAUAUUUCAGGCUCCCAUGUGGCUGGCAAGAAUCAUCAUUACCCAUCUCAUCUUUAUUUAAAAUGUCGACAGCCCUCACUUACCUGCUCUAAUCUCAGUCAAGGUGCCAAACCUGCAGAGCCAGUCUGCAAAGGGAAGGGGACCCGAAGGCUAGCCAGAGACAGCCUGGUGGCGGAAGGGCUCAGGAGAAUGAGUGGCUGUGACUAGAAAUCGAAUAUGGCUGGUGAAGGGAGAUGCAACUGAAGAAGAAGGGAAAAAAAAAGAAGAGAAAAGAAAAGAAAAAAAAGAAAAGAAAGGAAGAAGGAAAAGAAAAGAAACUCUCCCCCCACCCCCAAACAUGACAGGCUGAAGUUGACAACCUAAUCCUUCAGGCUUGUCUUACUUACUGAAAGGCUCAAGUAAUGUCAAAGAAACCAUCUGAUAACAGUCUUCAUGCCAAACCUAACAGCUUUAUUGCAACAAGAAACUUUCACAUUAAAUUUCCAUGUGUUUUCUCUCCACACUCCUUAACUUCACUGCCCACUCCCCGCCACCCCUGCCCCCCCCAUUUUUUUUUCCAAAGAAAGAUAAGGCUUCCCUGCUUCAAAAACCAAACAGAAACUGCUACGGAGGGCCAUUUGGGGAGGUGGUCAAAUUAGUGGAUUAUUAUUACCUUGGGGAUGUUGGAAAUCAAGUUUGUUAUUGGCAGUUCCUAUUUCUGUCAGAGUCAUUAAUAGCGAAAAUUUAAAGGGUGUUGGUCAAUCAACAGAAUGUUGUUUUCUUAAGUGGGUUAACUGUUAU